CAGUAGGCCCUACGUGGCGGGCUGGGGUGAUGGCCAUGGGUCUACCCCACUAUCUUCCGCAAUCAAUUUCCCUGACCACGAGCGGCCCACUACCAGGCGGUUACAAACGUCGCCAUCAGUCCGUUGCCUCCCCCGCCUAUAAAAGGGGGACUCAGAUACGUUAUUCUUUAAGCUCUUUUGCCUUAUCUCAAAACUCUGCUAAAUUCUCCGUUCGAGCACUCCAUUCUUGUUGAGGCAGAGAACUGACUUGAGCGUCGGAGGGUCUUGCCGGAGCAACCCCACCUCCG
rnacentral:lncRNA from 1 species